rnacentral:rRNA from 1 species
AAUGAACGCUGGCGGUAGGCCUAACACAUGCAAGUCGAACGGCAGCACAGUAAGAGCUUGCUCUUACGGGUGGCGAGUGGCGGACGGGUGAGGAAUACAUCGGAAUCUACUUUUUCGUGGGUGAUAACGUAGGGAAACUUACGCUAAUACCGCAUACGACCUACGGGUGAAAGCAGGGGAUCUUCGGACCUUGCGCGAUUGAAUGAGCCGAUGUCGGAUUAGCUAGUUGGCGGGGUAAAGGCCCACCAAGGCGACGAUCCGUAGCUGGUCUGAGAGGAUGAUCAGCCACACUGGAACUGAGACACGGUCCAGACUCCUACGGGAGGCAGCAGUGGGGAAUAUUGGACAAUGGGCGCAAGCCUGAUCCAGCCAUACCGCGUGGGUGAAGAAGGCCUUCGGGUUGUAAAGCCCUUUUGUUGGGAAAGAAAAGCAGCAGGUUAAUACCCCGCUGUUCUGACGGUACCCAAAGAAUAAGCACCGGCUAACUUCGUG